ACCAAGUUAGACCUGAGAGAACUAAGUUCUUUGGACUGUCGUUGGUUUCGUAUCGAGAGUAACAAACGCGUUUGUUUAGCUCUGAAAAGAGUUGACACAAUAGCGCCACAUUCAAGACAGGGGGAUCUUAAAUCCGCAGAGACGUGUUUCCCUUCUCUUUGAGAUUGUGAAUGCUGGGGCUGUUGAAGUGCAAGGAGGGAGGUGUGGUCCUCUAUGAAGAAAAAAUUCUGGAAGACCUGAACAUUGAAAAUUGCCUGGAGAAAUCUAAGACAGGAGAUGGAAGCAGAACCCCCAGGAGAUCCCAGGCCAGCUAUCAUAUGCAGCAGAAACAAGAAAGACCCUGCCUUAGCAAGACGGAAGGUGAAGGUGGGUGGACGCUCGAAGCUGCCUUCUGACCUCUGCACGUUCUGCAGCUCACACACGCGUCAGACGUUUAAACAGUAGAUAACUCUUAAUUAGUAGUAUGGAUUGAGACCAAAUAACCAAACCAAACCAAACACCAA